CGUUGGAAGAUUGAGAGGGGUUGCUCCUAGUACGAGAGGACCGGAGUGAACGCACCACUGGUGUUCGGGUUGUCAUGCCAAUGGCAUUGCCCGGUAGCUAAGUGCGGAAAAGAUAAGCGCUGAAAGCAUCUAAGCGCGAAACUUGCCUCAAGAUGAGUCUUCCCUGGGCCUUUAAGGCCCCUGAAGGAACGUUUAAGACUAAGACGUUGAUAGGCUGGGUGUGUAAGUGCAGCGAUGCAUUGAGCUAACCAGUACUAAUGAUCCGUGAGGCUUAACCUU
rnacentral:ncRNA from 1 species